rnacentral:misc_RNA from 1 species
GAUGAAGAACGCAGCGAAAUGCGAUAAGUAAUGUGAAUUGCAGAAUUCAGUGAAUCAUCGAAUCUUUGAACGCACCUUGCACCCUUUGGCAUUUUGAAGGGUAUGCUCGUUUGAGUGUCAUUGUACUCUCACACUCCCGAUCUUUGCAUUGGGAGCAGUGGACUUGGGUUUGCUGCUUCACCGUCGCUUACCUCAAAUAGGUUAGUGCAACUCUUGGUUGGACAUAGUACGGCGUGAUAAGUGUUCUUCGCCGGUGCCUCGCAAAGAGGGUGGCCGAUCGGGAUGUUGUGCUCCAAACCGUCUUCGGACAAUCUCUGACGACUUGACCUCAAAUCGAGUAAGACUACCCGCUGAACUUAAGCAUAUCAAUAAGCGGAGGA